UAAUACUUAAAAGUGAUUCUGUGAGGCAUUUUUCGAGCGAGAGUGUCGUAGCAGCGUGUUAUGGCUGAAAUAUUAUCGAAGAGAGAAAAAGGACGAAAAAGAGGAGAAAAAAUGUCGAAGGCAUCGAAGAUUUGAGUGCGUCUAUCCCCCUCCCUCCUACUUAUAAUAAAGUCGGAAUCCUCGUUAACAGGUUUCUUGUCUUGUGUCUUCUCCGCGCCAGCUGGAGCGCUCACCGGUUAUUUUGUGCUCAACGCCCGAACGGUUUAGACCGCCGCGAUAACCGACUUAGAUAUAUUUUUUAGUGUUAGUUAGUUUAAUUCACAUUACCUUUGUGACGCGUAAGUUUACCGAUACGGCUCGAACGACUAUAGAAUAAAAAGCAUGGCUUUUUCCAUGAAUAUUCCAUCGGACGAGAAGGUUGAGAAAAAGAAAUUCCCUCCAUCCGCCCCCAUUCACGCUCCUCCACCGGAACCGGAAAUUGACUCAAAAUACACCAAUGGUUGUGCCAUGAAAAUGACAAGAUGGUUACUGUUAAUAUGCGCCUCUUGCCUGGUGCUCUCCGCGCUGGCGUCGCCGGUGCUCCAGGGCGGCGGAGACGUGGACGUGGCGAAGGGACGGCAAGCGGACGCGGCGGCCGCCGUCGUGGAUAACAGCGUCGCGGCGGCGGCGUCGCCGGCGGCAGCGGCCCCCGUCGCGGCGGCGCCGGCCCCCGCGGUCACCCCCGAGCCCGAGGACGACGAGGACGAUGAGGAUGACGACGACGAUGACGUCGACCUCGACAUCACCGACGACGACGAUGAUGACGACGACGAGGAGGAGAACGAGACUGCUGCCGAUGAUGACGACGAAGACGAUGAUGAUGACUACGACUUCGAGAGGUUCUUCGAUGAUCUCCUGGGAGCUUGA
rnacentral:lncRNA from 1 species